AGAAAAAAUGCAUUUUUUUGCAUUUUUUUUGAAAAAAAAAUCAUUUUUUUCUU
rnacentral:tRNA from 1 species